ACUUAAAUUGAAGAGUUUGAUCAUGGCUCAGAUUGAACGCUGGCGGCAGGCCUAACACAUGCAAGUCGAGCGGUAGCACAGAGAGCUUGCUCUCGGGUGACGAGCGGCGGACGGGUGAGUAAUGUCUGGGAAACUGCCUGAUGGAGGGGGAUAACUACUGGAAACGGUAGCUAAUACCGCAUAAUGUCGUAAGACCAAAGUGGGGGACCUUCGGGCCUCAUGCCAUCAGAUGUGCCCAGAUGGGAUUAGCUAGUAGGUGGGGUAACGGCUCACCUAGGCGACGAUCCCUAGCUGGUCUGAGAGGAUGACCAGCCACACUGGAACUGAGACACGGUCCAGACUCCUACGGGAGGCAGCAGUGGGGAAUAUUGCACAAUGGGCGCAAGCCUGAUGCAGCCAUGCCGCGUGUGUGAAGAAGGCCUUCGGGUUGUAAAGCACUUUCAGCGGGGAGGAAGGCGAUAAGGUUAAUAACCUUGUCGAUUGACGUUACCCGCAGAAGAAGCACCGGCUAACUCCGUGCCAGCAGCCGCGGUAAUACGGAGGGUGCAAGCGUUAAUCGGAAUUACUGGGCGUAAAGCGCACGCAGGCGGUCUGUCAAGUCGGAUGUGAAAUCCCCGGGCUCAACCUGGGAACUGCAUUCGAAACUGGCAGGCUAGAGUCUUGUAGAGGGGGGUAGAAUUCCAGGUGUAGCGGUGAAAUGCGUAGAGAUCUGGAGGAAUACCGGUGGCGAAGGCGGCCCCCUGGACAAAGACUGACGCUCAGGUGCGAAAGCGUGGGGAGCAAACAGGAUUAGAUACCCUGGUAGUCCACGCCGUAAACGAUGUCGAUUUGGAGGUUGUGCCCUUGAGGCGUGGCUUCCGGAGCUAACGCGUUAAAUCGACCGCCUGGGGAGUACGGCCGCAAGGUUAAAACUCAAAUGAAUUGACGGGGGCCCGCACAAGCGGUGGAGCAUGUGGUUUAAUUCGAUGCAACGCGAAGAACCUUACCUGGUCUUGACAUCCACAGAACUUUCCAGAGAUGGAUUGGUGCCUUCGGGAACUGUGAGACAGGUGCUGCAUGGCUGUCGUCAGCUCGUGUUGUGAAAUGUUGGGUUAAGUCCCGCAACGAGCGCAACCCUUAUCCUUUGUUGCCAGCGGUCCGGCCGGGAACUCAAAGGAGACUGCCAGUGAUAAACUGGAGGAAGGUGGGGAUGACGUCAAGUCAUCAUGGCCCUUACGACCAGGGCUACACACGUGCUACAAUGGCAUAUACAAAGAGAAGCGACCUCGCGAGAGCAAGCGGACCUCAUAAAGUAUGUCGUAGUCCGGAUUGGAGUCUGCAACUCGACUCCAUGAAGUCGGAAUCGCUAGUAAUCGUAGAUCAGAAUGCUACGGUGAAUACGUUCCCGGGCCUUGUACACACCGCCCGUCACACCAUGGGAGUGGGUUGCAAAAGAAGUAGGUAGCUUAACCUUCGGGAGGGCGCUUACCACUUUGUGAUUCAUGACUGGGGUGAAGUCGUAACAAGGUAACCGUAGGGGAACCUGCGGUUGGAUCACCUCCUUACCUUAAAGAA
rnacentral:rRNA from 2 species